UACGUAGGGGGCAAGCGUUGUCCGGAUUUAUUGGGCGUAAAGAGCGUGUAGGCGGCCAGACAGGUCCGUUGUGAAAACUCGAGGCUCAACCUCGAGACGCCGAUGGAAACCGUCUGGCUAGAGUCCGGAAGAGGAGAGUGGAAUUUCCGGUGUAGCGGUGAAAUGCGCAGAUAUCGGGAAGAACACCCGUGGCUAAGGCGGCUCUCUAGUACGGUACUGACGCUGAGACGCGAAAGCGUGGGGAGCGAACAGG
rnacentral:rRNA from 1 species